rnacentral:misc_RNA from 1 species
GAUGAAGAACGUAGCGAAAUGCGAUAAGUAAUGUGAAUUGCAGAAUUCAGUGAAUCAUCGAAUCUUUGAACGCACAUUGCGCCCGCCAGUAUUCUGGCGGGCAUGCCUGUUCGAGCGUCAUUUCAACCAUCAAGCCCCCGGCUUGUGUUGGGGACCUGCGGCUGCCGCAGGCCCUGAAAAGCAGUGGCGGGCUCGCUGUCACACCGAGCGUAGUAGCAUACAUCUCGCUCUGGGCGUGCUGCGGGUUCCGGCCGUUAAACCACCUUCAUAACCCAAGGUUGACCUCGGAUCAGGUAGGAAGACCCGCUGAACCUAAGCAUAUCAAUAAGCGGAGGA